AUACGUAGGUGGCAAGCGUUGUCCGGAAUUAUUGGGCGUAAAGCGCGCGCAGGCGGUCCUUUAAGUCUGAUGUGAAAGCCCACGGCUCAACCGUGGAGGGUCAUUGGAAACUGGAGGACUUGAGUGCAGAAGAGGAAAGUGGAAUUCCAAGUGUAGCGGUGAAAUGCGUAGAGAUUCGGAGGAACACCAGUGGCGAAGGCGACUUUCUGGUCGGUAACUGACGCUGAGGCGCGAAAGCGUGGGGAGCAAACAGGAUUAGAUACCCUGGUAGUCCACGCCGUAAACGAUGAGUGCUAAGUGUUAGGGGGUUUCCGCCCCUUAGUGCUGCAGCUAACGCAUUAAGCACUCCGCCUGGGGAGUACGGUCGCAAGACUGAAACUCAAAGGAAUUGACGGGG
rnacentral:rRNA from 1 species